rnacentral:rRNA from 1 species
AUGACAAUUAACAAGGCACAGGGUCAGACUAUCCCAAACGUCGGCAUUUACCUUCCCGAGCCAGUAUUCUCACAUGGUCAGCUAUAUGUUGCAUUGUCAAGGGGAGUGUCCAGAGAGACGACGCGGCUUUUGGCCAAGCCAAACAACGAGGUUGAUAAAUCUGGGAAAAGCACCAAGAACAUUGUCUAUAGAUAUGUUUUGGGGAGAUGA